rnacentral:lncRNA from 1 species
UUUGUUGUGUUGUUUCAUUGAGACUGUGGGUUUGUGUUGCAGCAACUAGAACUGACUGACCACUAGGUGAAGAGUGAAUGACUGCUCAGGUUUUGGGAAGGGGAUACCAAAAGCACAGUGGUGAAAAAAUAGCUCCAUUACUUCUGAUUUGAAAGCUCAGUGUUAUUAACAUGUUGAUCUCUGAGGACUUCCAGGGCUGUCGCCAAUAAGCCACACAACCUGGUCCCACCAUC